GUGNUCUCUUCAGCAACACAUAUAGUGAAAUUAGAAUGAUACAGAGAAGAUUAACAUGGCCCCUGUGCAUGGAUGACAUGCAAACUUGUGGAGUGUUCAAAAUAAAU
rnacentral:snRNA from 1 species